rnacentral:rRNA from 1 species
GACGAACGCUGGCGGCGUGCUUAACACAUGCAAGUCGAACGGAAAGGCCCUGCUUUUGUGGUGUGCUCGAGUGGCGAACGGGUGAGUAACACGUGAGUAACCUGCCCUUGACUUUGGGAUAACUUCAGGAAACUGGGGCUAAUACCGGAUAGGAGCUCCUGCUGCAUGGUGGGGGUUGGAAAGUUUCGGCGGUUGGGGAUGGACUCGCGGCUUAUCAGCUUGUUGGUGGGGUAGUGGCUUACCAAGGCUUUGACGGGUAGCCGGCCUGUGAGGGUGACCGGCGAAAAUGGGACUGAGAUACGGACCAGACUGUAACGGGAGGCAGCAGUGGGGAAUAUUGCACAAUGGGAGGAAGCCUGAUGAAGAAACGCGGCGUGCGGGAUGACGGCCUUCGGGUAGAAAACAGCAUUAGCCUGUGACGAAGCGUGAGUGACGGUAAUGGGUAAAGAAGCACCGGCUAACUACGUG